GAUGAAGAACGUAGCGAAAUGCGAUACUUGGUGUGAAUUGCAGAAUCCCGUGAACCAUCGAGUCUUUGAACGCAAGUUGCGCCCGAAGCCAUUAGGCCGAGGGCACGCCUGCCUGGGCGUCACACGUCGUUGCCCCCCCAUCUACUCCUUCGGGAUUGCGGGGGGCGGAUGAUGGCCUCUCGUGCGCCUCGUCGCGCGGUUGGCCUAAAUGCCAAGUCCUCGGCGACGCACGCCACGACAAUCGGUGGUUGCGAAACCUCGGUUGCCUGUCGUGUGCGGUCGUCGCGCAUCGAGGGCUCGAAAAAAUUGCCGGGCUUCGGCUCGACUUUCAACGCGACCCCAGGUCAGGCGGGGUUACCCGCUGAAUUUAAGCAUAUCAAUAAGCUGAGGA
rnacentral:misc_RNA from 1 species